GAUGAAUGCUGGCGGCGUGCCUAAUACAUGCAAGUCGUACGGAAAGGCCCUUCGGGGUACUCGAGUGGCGGACGGCUGAGUAACGCGUGGGAACGUGCCCCAAAGUGAGGAAUAACUGCCCGAAAGGGUAGCUAAUGCCGCAUAUGAUCUUCGGAUUAAAGCUUCGGCGCUUUGGGAGCGGCCCGCGUACGAUUAGAUAGUUGGUGAGGUAAUGGCUCACCAAGUCGACGAUCGUUAGCUGGUCUGAGAGGAUGAUCAGCCAGACUGGAACUGCGACACGGUCCAGACGCCUACGGGAGGCAGCAGUAAGGAAUCUUCCACAAUGGGGGCAACCCUGAUGGAGCGACGCCGCGUGCAGGAUUAAGGCCUUCGGGUCGUAAACUGCUUUUAUAAGUGAAGAAGAUGACGGUAACUUAUGAAUAAGCACCGGCUAACUACGUGCCAGCCGCCGCAGUAAAAC
rnacentral:rRNA from 1 species